GGAGAGGUACCCAAGUGGCUGAAGGGGCGGGUUUGCUAAACCCGUAGUACGGUUUUUCCGUAGCGAGAGUUCGAAUCUCUUCCUCUCCG
rnacentral:tRNA from 1 species